UCCGGUGUGGUGUAAUGGCUAUCAUACUGCGCUUUCAUCUUGAAAGUGCCGCAGGGACCGGGGUUCGAUUCCCCGCAUCGGAG